GCGUAUGAGUUGUAGUAGUAGUAGUAGUAGGUGAUGUAGUUGUAGUGGUUGGGGGUGUGGUCGUAGUGGGUGUUUCAGUAGUAGUUGUAGAUGGUGUAGGCGUAGGAGUUGUAGUAGUAGUAGUAGGUGAUGUAGUUGUAGUGGUUGGGGGUGUGGUCGUGGUGGGCGUUUCAGUAGUAGUUGUUGUAGAUGGUGUUGGCGUAGGAGUUGUAGUAGUAGUAGUAGUAGUAGUAGGUGAUGUAGUUGUAGUGGUUGGGGGUGUGGUCGUGGUGGGCGUUUCAGUAGUAGUUGUUGAAGGUGGUGUAGGAGUUGUAGUAGUAGUAGUAGUAGGUGAUGUAGUUGUAGUGGUUGGGGGUGUGGUCGUGGUGGGCGUUUCAGUAGUAGUUGUUGAAGGUGGUGUAGGAGUUGUAGUAGUAGUAGUAGGUGAUGUAGUUGUAGUGGUUGGGGGUGUGGUCGUGGUGGGCGUUUCAGUAGUAGUUGUUGAAGAUGGUGUUGGCGUAGGAGUUGUAGUAGUAGUAGUAGGUGAUGUAGUUGUAGUGGUUGGGGGUGUGGUCGUGGUGGGCGUUUCAGUAGUAGUUGUUGUAGGUGGUGUUGUAGUAGUCAUUGAUGUAGUGGUAGAAUGACAGGGGAUCUCACAGCACACUCUGAUCUUAUAGUUUCGACACUUCCUUUUAUAAGGCUGGUCUUGCUGUCUACAGAUCAGUCCAUAGGAGACAUUGCAGGUGACCACUUGCUGUGUGCCGCUCACAAAAUCCUCAAAGCUCAUGUCUGGAAACUCACUCGAUCUGCAGUCGAUCUCUGUAGGUGAAUCACAUAUCACAAGACCACUGUCUGUAAUGUUUUUAUACGUCUCCCAGUCACUUCUGUCGACUUGAUUGUCUGGGUGAUGAACGUCAUACCAAUCCGACCACUCACAGGUGGGGAUGCAUGGUGUGGGAGUGAUGGUAGGUGUUGUAAUUGUAGUAGUUGUAGUGGUUGGGGUUGUGGUCGUGGUGGG
ensembl:lncRNA